CUGGCCUCUCCUGGGGAGCGCAUGGCAAUGGAGAGCCUUGAGUGCAGCUCAGAUAUUUGCCUGUGAGCAGCUCUCCUUCAAACAUGGGCUCUGUGCCCCAGACCAAGCAGCUCCUUGCAGCUCCCUGGGAGCUCUCCUGCAUAGCUGAGCACUGGCCACGAGCUGCACAAACCCCACGGGUUUGCGUUGGCUCUCUGUGAAGGCAGCUCUCCGAGGAUCCCCUGUGUGUCUCCUCUCUCCAGAGCCUUCUGCUGCCCAGACACCAAGUGGAGGAACCGUGAAGGCCGAAAUCUGUUGUCAAUGGGACUGCCCAGAGGGAAAACUCAGCCCCUGUGCUCUCUAGGGAUCUCUGCAGACAGCGCUGUCAAACCCUGUCCCUGUGGAGCUGCUGUGCUCGCCUAGGAGCUGUUAGACCUCUGGAAAACGAGAGAUCUUGACAAGGUGCUACAAUAAUUGCAUGUUACACUGUGGUGAUGUCCUGAGCCUUAAGCAGCUUCAAUUAUCUCCUUCCUUAUGGGAGGAUUUCCAGAGGUAGAGCACUAGAAAGAGACCUUUGAUGUCCCGUCUGAGCUGUGAUUGAUUUGAGAAGCGAGACGCCGCAGCAGAAGGGACGCGGAGCUGCAAGACCUCUCUGCUGUGCUGUCAAGUGAGCAGCCACUUCCAGCUCCAGCCUGGAUUAUUUUGUUUACAAGAAAGUGACAGAAUGAGAUCUGGCGCAGAUUGCCACCCUCCUGCGUGCUGCUGUGCUGCUCCCAGAGCCCGGAUUACACUGCUCAGGUCUUGCACCCCUGCCAAGAAAAGCCAUCACCUGGACUGGGAAAAAGUGUCUUGGGAGGAGCAGGUGCAAAGAGUGAGUCUGAGGGAAGAGAAGAGCCAGGCAGGCACUGAUAGAACAUUCCUGGUGAUGGAGCUGACGGUGUAA
rnacentral:lncRNA from 1 species